ensembl:snoRNA
GCUGACACUAGAGUAACAUCCUGACACAGCUCUUGUCCUGGUGUGCUAGAGUUCUCGAUGAAUCUACUGGUCUUGAUUCACUGGCAGGAGCAAUCAGUGGCUGUUAGUAUGCAUAUUUAAAACAUGG